UAACAGAGGGGGCAAGCGUUGUUCGGAAUUACUGGGCGUAAAGGGCGCGUAGGCGGCCUUCUAAGUCGAACGUGAAAUCCCCGGGCUCAACCCGGGAACUGCGUCCGAUACUGGAAGGCUUGAAAUCCGGGAGAGGGAUGUGGAAUUCCGAGGUGUAGCGGUGAAAUGCGUAGAUAUCUGGAAGGAACACCGGUGGCGAAGGCGACAUCCUGGA
rnacentral:rRNA from 1 species